rnacentral:rRNA from 1 species
AUCGAAUACGGCUUUCCACAGAAUUCUAUAGGGAUCUAUGAGAUCGAGUAUGGAAUUCUGUUUACUCACUUUAAAUUGAGUAUCCGUUUCCCUCCUUUUCCCGCUAGGAUCGGAAAUCAUGUAUUUUCCAUAUCCAUAUGAUCGAGUCCUUAG